rnacentral:tRNA from 1 species
UGGCUCAGUUGGUAGAGCAUGGUGUUGCAAAUGCCAGGGUUGUGGGUUCGACUCCCAC